GCCAGGCGUGGUGGCUCACGCCUGUAAUCCCUGCACUUUGGGAGGUUGAGGCAGGUGGAUCACCUGAGGUCAGGAGUUCGAGAGCAGCCUGGCCAACAUGGUGAAACCCUGUCUCUA
rnacentral:SRP_RNA from 1 species